GAUGAACGCUAGCGGCAGGCCUAACACAUGCAAGUCGAGGGGCAGCACGUCUUCGGAUGGUGGCGACCGGCGCACGGGUGCGUAACGCGUAUGCAACCUACCUCUUACAGUGGGAUAGCCCAGAGAAAUUUGGAUUAAUACCGCAUAGUAUACAGAUUCAGCAUUGGGACUGUAUUAAACAUUUAUGGGUAAGAGAUGGGCAUGCGUUCUAUUAGUUAGUUGGAGUGGUAACGGCACCCCAAGACAGCGAUAGAUAGGGCCCGUCGAGAGGGGAGUCCCCACCACUGGUACUGAGACACGGACCGAGACUCCUACGGGAGGCAGCAGUGAGGAAUAUUGGACGAAU
rnacentral:rRNA from 1 species